UGCAGUCGAGCGGACAGAUGGGAGCUUGCUCCCUGAUGUUAGCGGCGGACGGGUGAGUAACACGUGGGUAACCUGCCUGUAAGACUGGGAUAACUCCGGGAAACCGGGGCUAAUACCGGAUGCUUGUUUGAACCGCAUGGUUCAAACAUAAAAGGUGGCUUCGGCUACCACUUACAGAUGGACCCGCGGCGCAUUAGCUAGUUGGUGAGGUAACGGCUCACCAAGGCAACGAUGCGUAGCCGACCUGAGAGGGUGAUCGGCCACACUGGGACUGAGACACGGCCCAGACUCCUACGGGAGGCAGCAGUAGGGAAUCUUCCGCAAUGGACGAAAGUCUGACGGAGCAACGCCGCGUGAGUGAUGAAGGUUUUCGGAUCGUAAAGCUCUGUUGUUAGGGAAGAACAAGUACCGUUCGAAUAGGGCGGUACCUUGACGGUACCUAACCAGAAAGCCACGGCUAACUACGUGCCAGCAGCCGCGGUAAUACGUAGGUGGCAAGCGUUGUCCGGAAUUAUUGGGCGUAAAGGGCUCGCAGGCGGUUUCUUAAGUCUGAUGUGAAAGCCCCCGGCUCAACCGGGGAGGGUCAUUGGAAACUGGGGAACUUGAGUGCAGAAGAGGAGAGUGGAAUUCCACGUGUAGCGGUGAAAUGCGUAGAGAUGUGGAGGAACACCAGUGGCGAAGGCGACUCUCUGGUCUGUAACUGACGCUGAGGAGCGAAAGCGUGGGGAGCGAACAGGAUUAGAUACCCUGGUAGUCCACGCCGUAAACGAUGAGUGCUAAGUGUUAGGGGGUUUCCGCCCCUUAGUGCUGCAGCUAACGCAUUAAGCACUCCGCCUGGGGAAUACGGUCGCAAGACUGAAACUCAAAGGAAUUGACGGGGGCCCGCACAAGCGGUGGAACAUGUGGUUAAUUCCAAGCAACGCGAAAACCUUACCAGGUCUUGACUCCUCUGACAUCCUAAAAAUAGGACGCCCCUUCCGGGGCAAAUGACGGGUGGUG
rnacentral:rRNA from 1 species